UAAAACGUAGGUGGCAAGCGUUAUCCGGAUUCACUGGGCGUAAAGCGCACGCAGGUGGCAGGGUAGGUAGGGCAUGAAAUCGCCUGGCUUAACUAGGCGAGGUUGUCCUAUACCGCUCCGCUUGAGGCUGGGAGAGGGAAGUGGAAUUGCCGGUGUAGUGGUGAAAUGCGUAGAGAUCGGCAGGAACACCAGUGGCGAAGGCGGCUUCCUGGCCCAGUCCUGACACUCAAGUGCGAAAGCUAGGGGAGCGAACGGGAUUAGAAACCCCGGUAGUCCUAGCCGUAAACGAUGAAGACUAGGUGUCGGGGGUAUUGACCCCCUCGGUGCCGAAGCCAACGCGUUAAGUCUUCCGCCUGGGGACUACGGCCGCAAGGUUA
rnacentral:rRNA from 1 species